GCUGAACUUAAGCAUAUCAAUAAGCGGAGGAAAAGAAACCAACAGGGAUUGCCCUAGUAACGGCGAGUGAAGCGGCAACAGCUCAAAUUUGAAAUCUGGCGCAAGCCCGAGUUGUAAUUUGUAGAGGAUGCUUCUAGGUAGCGACCGGUCUAAGUUCCUUGGAACAGGACGUCAUAGAGGGUGAGAAUCCCGUAUGUGACCGGCCCGCACCUUCUACGUAGCUCCUUCGACGAGUCGAGUUGUUUGGGAAUGCAGCUCUAAAUGGGAGGUAAAUUUCUUCUAAAGCUAAAUACCGGCCAGAGACCGAUAGCGCACAAGUAGAGUGAUCGAAAGAUGAAAAGCACUUUGGAAAGAGAGUUAAAAAGCACGUGAAAUUGUUGAAAGGGAAGCGCUCACAACCAGACUUCUGGGCGGUGUUCCGCCGGUCUUCUGACCGGUCUACUCACCGUCCCGAGGCCAACAUCAUCUGGGACCGCCGGAUAAGACCUCAGGAAUGUAGCUCCCCUCGGGGAGUGUUAUAGCCUGUGGUGAUGCGGCGCGUCUCGGGUGAGGUCCGCGCUUCGGCAAGGAUGUUGGCGUAAUGGUUGUCAGCGGCCCGUCUUGAAACACGGACCAAGGAGUCUAACAUCUAUGCGAGUGUUCGGGUGUCAAACCCCUACGCGUAAUGAAAGUGAACGGAGGUGGGAAGGGUAACCUGCACCAUCGACCGAUCCUGAUGUCCUCGGAUGGAUUUGAGUAAGAGCAUAGCUGUUGGGACCCGAAAGAUGGUGAACUAUGCCUGAAUAGGGUGAAGCCAGAGGAAACUCUGGUGGAGGCUCGCAGCGGUUCUGACGUGCAAAUCGAUCGUCAAAUUUGGGUAUAGGGGCGAAAGACUAAUCGAACCAUCUAGUAGCUGGUCCUG
rnacentral:rRNA from 1 species